rnacentral:rRNA from 1 species
UUCAGAGGAACCUGUCCUAUAAUUGAUAGUCCACAAUUUAAAUAACUUAUUUUAUUAAUUUACAUAUCGUCGUAGUUUGAAUAUUUUUUAAAAAAUAAAAUAUUCAAAAUUUUUUUUUGGAAUGGAAUUCAGAUCAAGGUGUAGUUUAUAAAUAAGAAGAGAUGGGUUACAAUAAAUUUAUUUAAAUGGAUGAUAAUUUAAAAAUUUAUUUGAAGGUGGAUUUGAAAGUAAUUUAAAUUAAAUAAUUAAAAUGAUUUUAGCUCUAAAAUAUGUACAUAUCGCCCGUCAUUUUCAUUAUAAAGUGAAACAAGUCGUAACAUAGUAGGUGUACUGGAAAGUGUACCUAGAAUGACAAAUUAGAGCUUGUAAGAAAGCAUUUUAUUUACAUUAAAAAGUUUAUUGUGAGAAUCAAUAUAAUUUGAAUAAAGAUUAUUAUUAAUUUUAAUAAUUUAUUAUUUAUUUUAAUAAAAUAAUUUUAAGUUUUAUUAUAAAAAUGAAAAAAUUUGAUUAAUUAUAGUAAAUUAGUAUUGUGAAAGAAUUAAUAAAUAUUUUUAAAAAAAUAAUUUAUUUUUAUUCAAACCGGUGUGAGCCAGGUUGGUUUCUAUCUCAAAUUAGUUAAUAUAUUUUAGUACGAAAGGACCGAAUAUAUAUUAUUAUAUAAUUUGAAUAUGAUAAACCAUUAGUUAUUUUGGCAGAAUAGUGCAAUAGAUUUAGAAUCUAUAAAUGUAAAUUUUUUACAAAUAAUACUUGAUAAUAAAAGAUUUAAUAAUAAUAAUAGUUUCAAUAUUAAUUUUAUCUUUAAGAGUAAUAAUUAGUGUAGCAUUUUUAACUUUAAUAGAACGAAAAGUUUUAGGAUAUAUUCAAAUUC